rnacentral:rRNA from 1 species
UAAUACGUAGGUGGCGAGCGUUGUCCGGAUUUAUUGGGUUUAAAGGGUGCGUAGGCGGCCCUGUAAGUCAGUGCUGAAAUAUCCCGGCUUAACCGGGAGGGUGGCAUUGAUACUGCAGGGCUUGAGUGAAGUCGAGGUAGGCGGAAUUGACGGUGUAGCGGUGAAAUGCUUAGAUAUCGUCAAGAACACCGAUAGUGUAGACAGCUUACUAGGCUUUAACUGACGCUGAGGCACGAAAGUGUGGGGAUCAAACAGGAUUAGAUACCCUGGUAGUCCACACUGUAAACGUUGAUCACUCGCUGUUGGCGAUACACAGUCAGCGGCUUAGCGCAAGCGAUAAGUGAUCCACCUGGGGAGUACGCCGGCAACGGUG